CACGCGUAGUGAUCACCGUCCUUUAUUUAUGAAGUAUUAUUCUAUGAUUUUAUAUGUAUAUACACAUUUAGAAUAGCAGUACAAUAAUAAUAGCAAUAAUACCAUCUUAUUUAUACUUGCGUAGAUUCCAUAAGAAUUUAUAGUGAUUCCGGUCCUGUUAUAUGUUAUCUUCAGUUCCUUUUUUAUUAUCAUUUUAUUAAGAUACUCUGUCGUUCCGUGUGUUUUUGCUCGUAUAUUGAUUUAUUUGUUUACUUCCUGCGGAACGCAUCGUAACCUUUUUCAUAUUCAGGAUCAUCAUUAUCAGCUUCGUCAUAAACGGCGGUAUUUUUCAAAUUUCAAACGACUAAUUAACUCCCGCCUUUCUGCCAAGUGAUUUCAACAAGUUUGCCCAUUAACCCGUGAGGUGUUUGCUUGCACUGCUAUCUAUGUUUGCUGUACGCAGUAGCGGAGGCGCAAAUCACAACAUAUCUAAAUACUUCGUCAGAUGUAAUCAUAGAUGAAGUACGGCUUCGCGGGGCAUCCGCAGGAUAUUUGUUGCCAAGGGGACAGAAUGCUUACAGCCUACUGGUACUGCCUAUGCAGCCAAGCAGCUGCCAAUACUUUCUCAGCAUCAUUCGACUUCUCACGCGAUGAAAAUUUGUCCUGUUACUACUAUUACGGUACCGCAGGAGAGGUGAUCGACAGAGCACGACAGAGAUAGACAAGGUAACGAAAAGGUCAAAGAAUAUGUUCGAAGUUUCGGCAUGCCUGUUGUGACGCCGAAUACAACAUGCUUUCAUCAUAGGAAUGAAGUGAUAUCGACUACACCACAGCGGCUUUCGAGUCCACGAAGGCUCAGUAAAGUAUCGUAGAAAAAGGCAAAAGGAAUUUCGGGAACGGAGGCGACGACGAAAAUAACGCCGUCACGACAUCAUUACACCCCGAAUUAUUUUUGGCACCUGUCGACGAUGAAGAAUGACGGUACAUUUCAUGCAAGCGAUUUAUCAUAUCUCACAAGUAUCCCGGAGGUAGGUAGAGAAAACUGUGCCGUCAUAGCAUGCUGUCAUAGUCGUGUCAGACGACGAGCAAAAAUCUAUUAGGAGCCAGUGACUAUAUGAGUAAGCUGGACACUGUGAACGAGUCCUGCGAAAUUCUCUACUCUGCUGUGUUUUGCUCUUGGAUUUCUGUCAUUUCCUUGUCCUCUCCGGGAAAACUGUCAGAGCUUUCCGAUUCCAAAGCACAUCGUAAUUUAGCCGGAUACUCUAAAUCCGACAGCAAUCUCUGAGGGAUAUAGAAUCGGUUAUUAUCAGCUCAUCAGAGGUCAGCGUGCUAGGAUAAACAAGAAUCGCAAGAUUUGUGUGAAACCACAGUAAGCAAGCAAAACAGACACAGCAGAAAGAAACAGCUUUUGCUUCCAGCUAACAGCGUUCAACCUCUUCCUAAGUCUGUAUCUAGCUGGCAGCGUUUUGAGGUCCGUUCAGGAUAAUCCAGCGUUACACCCUGACACGUUUGGCACGUUUAUGCCUAAGAAAUAGG